rnacentral:pre_miRNA from 1 species
AUAGUACUCCCUCCAUUCAAAAAUAGUUGUCCUAGAAAUGAAUAAAAUGAAUGUAUCUAUAACUAAAAUAAGUCUAGAUACAUCCAUUUUUAGGACAAGUAUUUCCGGACGGAGGGAGUACUGA